rnacentral:rRNA from 2 species
UGGUUCAGGACGAACGCUGGCGGCGUGCCUAAUACAUGCAAGUCGAGCGGAUCUUCAUUAGCUUGCUUUUGAAGAUCAGCGGCGGACGGGUGAGUAACACGUGGGCAACCUGCCUGUAAGACUGGGAUAACUUCGGGAAACCGGAGCUAAUACCGGAUAAUCCUUUCCCUCACAUGAGGGAAAGCUGAAAGACGGUUUCGGCUGUCACUUACAGAUGGGCCCGCGGCGCAUUAGCUAGUUGGUGAGGUAACGGCUCACCAAGGCAACGAUGCGUAGCCGACCUGAGAGGGUGAUCGGCCACACUGGGACUGAGACACGGCCCAGACUCCUACGGGAGGCAGCAGUAGGGAAUCUUCCGCAAUGGACGAAAGUCUGACGGAGCAACGCCGCGUGAACGAUGAAGGCUUUCGGGUCGUAAAGUUCUGUUGUCAGGGAAGAACAAGUACCGGAGUAACUGCCGGUACCUUGACGGUACC